GUAGUCAUAUGCUUGUCUCAAAGAUUAAGCCAUGCAUGUCUAAGUAUAAGCAAUUUAUACAGUGAAACUGCGAAUGGCUCAUUAAAUCAGUUAUCGUUUAUUUGAUAGUACCUUACUACUUGGAUAACCGUGGUAAUUCUAGAGCUAAUACAUGCUUAAAAUCCCGACUGUUUGGAAGGGAUGUAUUUAUUAGAUAAAAAAUCAAUGCCUUCGGGCUCUUUGAUGAUUCAUAAUAACUUUUCGAAUCGCAUGGCCUUGUGCUGGCGAUGGUUCAUUCAAAUUUCUGCCCUAUCAACUUUCGAUGGUAGGAUAGUGGCCUACCAUGGUGGCAACGGGUAACGGGAAU
rnacentral:rRNA from 1 species